GUAGGUGGCAAGCGUUGUCCGGAAUUAUUGGGCGUGAAGCGCGCGCAGGCGGUUCUUUAAGUCUGAUGUGAAAGCCCACGGCUCAACCGUGGAGGGUCAUUGGAAACUGGAGAACUUGAGUACAGAAGAGGAAAGCGGAAUUCCACGUGUAGCGGUGAAAUGCGUAGAGAUGUGGAGGAACACCAGUGGCGAAGGCGGCUUUCUGGUCUGUAACUGACGCUGAGGCGCGAAAGCGUGGGGGGAGCAAACAGGAUUAGAUACCCUGGUAGUCCACGCCGUAAACGAUGAGUGCUAAGUGUUAGGGGGUUUCCGCCCCCCCCUUAGUGCUGCAGCUAACGCAUUAAGCACUCCGCCUGGGAGUACGACCGCAAGGUUG
rnacentral:rRNA from 1 species